rnacentral:rRNA from 1 species
UGGGGAAUAUUGGACAAUGGGCGAAAGCCUGAUCCAGCCAUGCCGCGUGUGUGAAGAAGGUCUUCGGAUUGUAAAGCACUUUAAGUUGGGAGAAAGGGCAGUAAGCGAAUACCUUGCUGUUUUGACGUUACCGACAGAAUAAGCACCGGCUAACUCUGUGCCAGCAGCCGCGGUAAUACAGAGGGUGCAAGCGUUAAUCGGAAUUACUGGGCGUAAAGCGCGCGUAGGUGGUUCGUUAAGUUGAAUGUGAAAGCCCCGGGCUCAACCUGGGAACUGCAUCCAAAACUUGCGAGCUAGAGUAGGGCAGAGGGUGGUGGAAUUGCCUGUGUAGCGGUGAAAUGCGUAGAUAUAGGAAGGAACACCAGUGGCGAAGGCGACCACCUGGGCUCAUACUGACACUGAGGUGCGAAAGCGUGGGGAGCAAACAGG